rnacentral:rRNA from 1 species
CAGUUUUGGCGGAGCCAUCCUUGGGAUACCACCCUUGUAGUACUGGGACUCUAACCAUAGGCCAUGAAUCUGGUCUUGGGACACUGUCAGGUGGGCAGGUUGACUGGGGCGGUCGCCUCCCAAAAGGUAACGGAGGCGCUCAAAGGUUCUCUCAGUACGGUCGGAAAUCGUACGUAGAGUGUAAAGGCAAAAGAGAGCUUGAUUGCAAGACAUACAGGUCGAGCAAGGAUGAAAAUCGGACUUAGUGAUCCGGUGGUUCUGCGUGGAAGGGCCAUCGCUCAACGGAUAAAAGCUACCCUGGGGAUAACAGGCUUAUCUCCCCCAAGAGUCCACAUCGACGGGGAGGUUUGGCACCUCGAUGUCGGCUCAUCACAUCCUGGGGCUGUAGUAGGUCCCAAGGGUUGGGCUGUUCGCCCAUUAAAGUGGUACGCGAGCUGGGUUCAGAACGUCGUGAGACAGUUCGGUCCCUAUCCGUCGCAGGCGGAGGAAAUUUGAGAAGACCUGUCCUUAGUACGAGAGGACCGGGAUGGACGUACCUCUGGUGUACCAGUUGUCCUGCCAAGGGCAUGGCUGGGUAGCUAUGUACGGAAUGGAUAAGCGCUGAAAGCAUCUAAGCGCGAAG